UUAACAGUUUGUGCAAUUUCAAUUUGUUUUUGCUUUCAAUAGCAAUAUUAACUCUAGAUAAUCAACUUUUAAUUGCAAUUGAUUGCAUUUUAAGUAUACUUUAAUCAACUUUUAAACAUAUCCAGCUAUCGGUUUGAUAGAUUCAAAAGCAAAGAAAUGAUAUAAACCAAGGAGGAAUAUGAAUUUGAUAACAAUCCUUUCAGGUUUGAAAAGAGCCAAAAAUCAGAGGGGAAAAGCUGAAACCACACCCGAAGAUGUACUUGUAAUUAAAGAUGCAAAAAAAGUGAGAGAUUAUAUGAUAAAUUAUGGACCAAAAAAUGUUGAGGAAAAGACCUGGAUACCUGGAAAGGCCAAAAUGAAGACGCAGAUGAAGUCUGACACUAGGAUCGAUUUGGAAAACGUUUGUUUGAUUGAAAGGAAACAAUUGGCACUGUCAUCAUCAUUAUUAUCAAGUGUUACAAGCAACAUCCCUUCCACCCACUUUUCCUCCAGUGAUACCUUCCUCCUUGCCAUCAUCGUCAAUCUUUGACAGAUUACCUUAAAAGCUGUUGAUCUAAAGCAAAACGUUAUAAUGAAGAGGUUACCAUUGAUAUUUAAUUUUUAAAAUACCUAUUUGGACUUGAAUAAUUAAUACCAAAUGUUUGGUGUGUUUGGAUAAAAUUAAGGUUCAAAUAAUAACUGACAAUCAAAUAAUAAUGGUAACAUUUAACACCCAAUAUAUAUUAUCAGUGGUACUCUUCAUUUUCAUAUCAAUGUUUUGUUUUUUGUAUCCUUAAACUUACCUGAAUCGGUAACAUUUUGUUUUCCCCAACCUAUUUUUUACCAUUUAUGGCUACUUAUUAGCCUUUUUCGUUGCUCAUCAUCAUCAACAUUUUUAUCUUCCUCCUCCUGCUCUGACUUAUUUCUCUAUUUAUGCCUACAGGCGAUGAGAGUUUACUUUUAUUUUUUUUUUCUUCGUUGCUUCUCAUCUCUCCCGUUGAGAUUGAGAAGUUAAGAGAGAGGAAGAAAAGUCUUUGUCAGAUUUUUUCAAGAGCUUAAGAUGAUGGCUAAGGAAGGAGGAGGAAGAAGAGAAGGAGGGAGUCAAAAGGAAAGAGAGACUCGCCCAAAGAUGAAAACAAUAAGAAUUUAAAUUCUCACCAAAAAAAGAUUUUCUCUCAGCAAGAAACAUAAAGACAUCCAUCUCUGUCUUGGUCUGCAUGUCCUAUCAAGAUGAGUUAACAAUUGGUUUUAGUAAAUCAAUAGAUACAUAUCCAUUUAUAAAUACAUCAAUACAAUUAGAUAUUGUUUUCCAACUCUAAA